GAUGAACGCUGGCGGCGUGCCUAAUACAUGCAAGUCGAGCGAACAGACGAGGAGCUUGCUCCUCUGACGUUAGCGGCGGACGGGUGAGUAACACGUGGAUAACCUACCUAUAAGACUGGGAUAACUUCGGGAAACCGGAGCUAAUACCGGAUAAUAUAUUGAACCGCAUGGUUCAAUAGUGAAAGACGGUUUUGCUGUCACUUAUAGAUGGAUCCGCGCCGCAUUAGCUAGUUGGUAAGGUAACGGCUUACCAAGGCAACGAUGCGUAGCCGACCUGAGAGGCUGAUCGGCCACCCUGGAACGUGGACACGGUCCUGGCUCCUGCGGGAGGCAGCAGUCGGGAAUCUUCCGCAAUGGGCGAAAGCCUGACGGAGCAACCCCGCGUGAGUGAUGAAGGUCUUCCGAUCGUAAAACUCUGUUUUUAGGGAAGAACAAAUUUGUAAGUAACUAUGUACGUCUUGACGGUACCUAAUCAGAAAGCCACGGCUAACUACGUG
rnacentral:rRNA from 1 species